rnacentral:ncRNA from 28 species
GCGACCCCAGGUCAGGCGGG